rnacentral:lncRNA from 1 species
GCUGAGACUUUGCGCUUAGUAGUUCAGAGGCCCCCAGGCAGACUACAGACCGUGACAAAAGGUGUAGAGUCUCAUUUGUACAGAUUGGAUUCGUCACAAAUUCACCAGAUCAAAAAUUCCAGAUAAAGUGUUUCACGCCUCACCUGAAGAUCAUGAAAAAUAUGGUGGGGAUCCACAGAACCCUCAUAAACUGCAUAUUGUUACCAGAAUAAAAAGUACAAAAUACGUCCAUAUUGGGAAAAAGAUAUAAUAAAGAAGCUUGGAUUGGAAAAAUCACAUAUCCCUCAAGUUCACCAGAAUUCCCUUCAGUGAAUGCAAAAUUGAAAGUGGUUAAGCAUUUGAUAAGAAUUGAAGUUGCCACAAGGACUUCCAACAGAGGAGAACAUGUCUAACACAUGCCUCAAAAGCACUGGGGAGUUAGUAGUGCAGUGGCAUCUGAAACCUGUGGAGUAGAAAGCACAUGAGUCC